rnacentral:rRNA from 1 species
CCUGGCGACCAUAGCGAGUGGGAACCACCUGAUCCCAUCCCGAACUCAGAAGUGAAACUGCUUUGCGCCGAUGAUAGUGUGGCAGCUGCCAUGUGAAAGUAGGUUAUCGCCAGGC